AGCGUUGCUCGGAAUCACUGGGCGUAAAGGGCGCGUAGGCGGACUCUUAAGUCGGGGGUGAAAGCCCAGGGCUCAACCCUGGAAUUGCCUUCGAUACUGGGAGUCUUGAGUUCGGAAGAGGUUGGUGGAACUGCGAGUGUAGAGGUGAAAUUCGUAGAUAUUCGCAAGAACACCAGUGGCGAAGGCGGCCAACUGGUCCGAAACUGACGCUGAGGCGCGAAAGCGUGGGGAGCAAACAGGAUU
rnacentral:rRNA from 1 species